ensembl:lncRNA
CAAAACACAAAACAUCUCCCUGUGCACGAACUCCUCACAUUCAGGUACACAUACAAACACAUCCUUCCACGUCCUCUUCCAUACCCCUUCCCCUCAGCCCCCCUACUCAUGAUCUGCGGUACCCUCAGUCCCAAAUCAUAAUCAGCGCCCGCGCAGCCCGGGUUGGACACAAACGCGCGCACGCGCGCACUCCCCUCCCCGCGCCAGCUGGGGAGGCUUCGGGCGGGCGCCGGCUUCGGAUUCCAGGUGUAGUGGCGGUUCCGCGCUCCGCGUUUUCCAGUCCGCCGCGGUGUUGGAGGCGAGGCGAGGAAGGGAGCUGGAAUAACAAAGGGCCGGCGAGAUCAUUCCUUCCACCACCGGAGGGAGAAGAGGCAAAAUGAAUUUGCCAGCCCUGAAUUCAUUCUCAAGGCUACGCUAUUCUGACAGCCAGCAAACUCAGCCUGGAUUCCUGAGAGCUCAGAGGACUGCAGCUCAGGGGAGUGACUGAAGAGGACACAGGAGCCAAGCCCAGCACACAAAGAGGGUCCAGCUCUCUAUAGCAUGGAGCCAGCGGUAAUCUCAGCUCUUCCCAGCUGGGCAAGCAUGACAUUUGAUGGCAGCAACUCUAAGAAAUCUCACCUCAGCCUUGAGUCUACCCUAGCCUCCUGAGGACCCUGGGCUCCAGUUCUUGAGACUCAGACACUUGCUGUCCCUAUUCCAAUUUUGAGAAAUAAUAAGGCAUGUUGGAUCCAUAUGGGCUCUUGGAAGAUGCUGUGACUUAGUAUGUGCCUACUGUGUGCUGGGUAGCGUGCUGAGGGCCUCUGAGGCAUGAGUUCAUUGAAUUCUCACAUUGCCUUGAGUUAGGUGCUAUUAAACUGCACUGUGAGGGACUUGUCCGAAG